rnacentral:tRNA from 1 species
GGAUUGUGGCUCAGUGGUAGAGUACUCGCCUAGCAUGCAUGAGGUCCUGGGUUCGAACCUCAGCACCA